rnacentral:rRNA from 1 species
AGAAUCAACGCCGGCGGCGUGCCUAACACAUGCAAGUCGAACGAGAAAGUGGUAGCAAUACCAUGAGUAAAGUGGCGCACGGGUGAGUAACACGUGACUAACCUACCCUUGAGUGGGGAAUAACCUCGGGAAACCGGGCUAAUACCGCAUAACACCUACGGGUCAAAGGAGCAAUUCGCUUAAGGAGGGGGUCGCGGCAGAUUAGUUAGUUGGCGGGGUAAUGGCCCACCAAGACGGUGAUCUGUAUCCGG